rnacentral:pre_miRNA from 15 species
GCCCCCUGCUGGAAGGUGAUGCCUAUUGGAUGUAACAGCAACUCCAUGUGGAAGGUUUCAUCCCUUUUCCAGUGGGGCUGCUGUUAUUUUUGAUAGGCUGUCAGGAGCGUCGCAUGGAGC